AUGAAAAAGAACAUUGGUGGUGAACUCAUAAAACCGAAUGCGACCCGGUUCGGAACGGUGUUCAUGUUCUUGGAGAGUUUCCAUUGUAAGAAAGAUGAGUUUAGGAAAUUGAUGGUGUCCGAUGAUUGGAAGGGAAGUACUUGGAAUGGUGCUGCUGAUUAUGUGUUUGCUGAAGAGCUGCUAUCUAGUAAUAUGUGGUGGGCAGCUUUAGAGUGGGUUCUUGCUGUGCUAGAGCCACUCUACAAAGCCCUUAGAUAUGACGAUACACAAAAGAGAUGCACCCUAUCUGGAUUCAAGAAGAGUAUGAUGACAGCCAUACAAAAGUUGGAAAGUCAUCUUGGUGGUGGAUCACAAAUGUUUCAUAGAGUCAUGAGCAAGGUGUCCAAGAGGAUCGAUGCUAUGCAAGAAGGCACACUAUUGGUUGUAGCUGCUGUCCUUGAUCCUUAG
rnacentral:rRNA from 1 species